GCAACUGUUGUGUAUCUCAGACAAUGGGUUCCUUGUAGAUAUAGAGCAAAAUGCAUCUGGAACAGAGCACAGCUUGGUACACCACCUUAAAGAUCAACUUACAAAGACAAUGUAAGUCUGGGAACCUGUUGUCCCAUGUUAUGAGGUAGCAUAAGAAGGUGAACUCCCUGGCCCUACAUCCGUUAUCCUGGAUAACCUUGUGGAGGCAUCAUUGGGGUCUGGGAACCUGUUGCCCCAUGUUAGGAGGCUGCAUAGGUGGGCGAAUUCCCUGACCCUGCAUCUGCUGUCCUGGAAAACCUUGUGGAGGCAUCAUUGAGGGAGGCCUAGCCAUCUGAGUCCCUGGAGUGAAAUUCGCCAUUGUGCCACUGCCAACAGGAGGCGGAGGAACGGGUAGAGCUCCACCUGGGGGCAUAGGCCUAGGCCCAUUUCCCAUUGGAGGUGGAGGUGGUGGCAAGGUUCCAGGCAUAGGAGGCGGUGGUCCUCUUGGAGGAUUAGCAAUUGUUGCACCUGGUGGGAGUCCCUGUGGUGGAGGAGGAGGUGGAGGAGGAGCUUGAGGUGGUGGGGGCAAAGGCCUUGGUGGGGCACCAGGAGCAGUUGUACCAUUAGCUGCAGAGGCAGGCUGAGGCUUGUUUGCCUCUGGUGGCUUGGUUUUGAAAUACAAUUGCAACUGUACAAUUGGCAUCAAGGAACUAUGUCAUAGAAAACUCACAAAUAAUCCAAAAGUUUCUCAAAACCAGAUCAGUGGCUAAACCCCACCAAGGUGGCAGGUCAGACAUGCAUAAGUUGAUGUUUUAUUAAUAACAUAUUUAAAAUAUGGCAAAGAAAAAAAAAAUCAAAUAGCCUUGAUAAAAUAAGUAUUUAAGACGCCCAUUGCAAAAGACAUUCAAUCACUUGUGCUCUAUUCAAAUAAAAUAACAUACAACAUGUGACUUUAUGAUAGAGAUGAUGAUUAAAAGUGAUUCUGAUGGUGAAAACUUUGCCAACUUGGUCAUCGUGCCUGGAGCUGAAACCCAGGCAGAUUGGAUCAAGUUAGAGAUUAACCCAACCCCAACAUAUGAAUGUCUACGUGAAGGCCAAGCCAACCUAGCUUAAUAGUUUUUUCUCUUAUAUU
rnacentral:lncRNA from 1 species